GUGCUCACUUUGGCACCAGAUACACUGAAUUUGGAACAAUACAGAGAAGAUGAGCACAGCCCCUGUGCAAGGAUGACAUACAAAAUUUAUGAAACUUUUUAUGAAUCU
ensembl:snRNA U6 U6 spliceosomal RNA